UACGUAGGGGGCAAGCGUUGUCCGGAUUUAUUGGGCGUAAAGAGCUCGUAGGUGGUUCGGUAAGUCGGAUGUGAAAUCUCCAGGCUCAACCUGGAGGGGUCAUUCGAUACUGCCGUGACUAGAGGUCGGUAGGGUAGUGUGGAAUUCCUGGUGGAGCGGUGAAAUGCGCAGAUAUCAGGAGGAACACCCGUAGCGAAGGCGGCACUCUGGGCCGAUACUGACACUGAGGAGCGAAAGCGUGGGGAGCGAACAGG
rnacentral:rRNA from 1 species